GAUGAACGCUGGCGGCGUGCCUAAUACAUGCAAGUCGAGCGAACAGAUGAGGAGCUUGCUCCUCUGACGUUAGCGGCGGACGGGUGAGUAACACGUGGAUAACCUACCUAUAAGACUGGGAUAACUUCGGGAAACCGGAGCUAAUACCGGAUAAUAUAUUGAACCGCAUGGUUCAAUAGUGAAAGACGGUUUUGCUGUCACUUAUAGAUGGAUCCGCGCCGCAUUAGCUAGUUGGUAAGGUAACGGCUUACCAAGGCAACGAUGCGUAGCCGACCUGAGAGGGUGAUCGGCCACGCUGGACCUGAGACACGGUCCAGACUCCUACGGGAGGCAGCAGUAGGGAAUCUUCCGCAAUGGGCGAAAGCCUGACGGAGCAACGCCGCGUGAGUGAUGAAGGUCUUCGGAUCGUAAAACUCUGUUAUUAGGGAAGAACAAAUGUGUAAGUAACUAUGCACGUCUUGACGGUACCUAAUCAGAAAGCCACGGCUAACUACGU
rnacentral:rRNA from 1 species